rnacentral:lncRNA from 1 species
GGGGCCGAGGCACGCGCUCUGCCACCAAUAAGGAAGGAGGGGCGAGAGGAUUCCAUGACGGAGUACAGGGAGCUCUGGCCUCUCCCUGGGGUCAGGACACUUUAGUUUUGAGCUGUGAUGCCUCCUUCACCCCCAUGCGGAAGGGAUCGAGAUUAUGCUUUUCCAGGACUGUGCCCUACCUGUCCAAAGGAGACCGAAAAGCACCAGUUGUUACAACUUGUUUAGUGUUGCUAUAAUCAAAAGAGAAACAUCCUGAUUACUUCAGUGUAAUUCCCCAUUGAUCCAAGGUAACUGCAAAUUUCAUUUUGAGAUUAAAUUAGCGCUUCUGGGAGGUAACUGUAACUUAUUUGCUCUGUCUCUGAUGUCUGUUAAAGUGUGAGCUCACUUUCUGAAAUUGAAAACAAGCCUGUCUCUGAACCAGCUUCUCUUAGCAUCAAGAAUACCUAGAGACAAUGAGUUUUCAUUAGGUUAAUGUAACUUCGAAGGAGGAGGAAAUGAAGGGCAGAACAGAGAAUUAAGUCAGCUUAUGGAAAAUAUUUUUAUCAAGGGAAGAGAGGCAGUAUGGUAUAUUGUAUAGUGCAUUGGUCCUAAAGUCAGAAAAGGGUAUGGCAUCUUGGGCACAUCUGGCCUUACUCUCCUCAUAUGUAAGAUAAUAAAAAAUAGCCCCUACACUACA